UACGUAGGGUGCAAGCGUUAAUCGGAAUUCCUGGGCGUAAAGCGUGCGCAGGCGGUUUUGUAAGCCCGAUGUGAAAGCCCCGGGCUUAACCUGGGAAUGGCAUUUGGGACUGCAAGGCUUGAGUGCGGCAGAGGAGACUGGAAUUCCUGGUGUAGCAGUGAAAUGCGUAGAUAUCAGGAGGAAUACCGAUGGCGAAGGCAGGUCUCUGGGCUGACACUGACGCUCAUGCACGAAAGCGUGGGGAGCAAACAGG
rnacentral:rRNA from 1 species